rnacentral:rRNA from 1 species
GACGAACGCUGGCGGCGUGCUUAACACAUGCAAGUCGAACGGAAAGGCCCUGCUUUUGUGGGGUGCUCGAGUGGCGAACGGGUGAGUAACACGUGAGUAACCUGCCCUUGACUUUGGGAUAACUUCAGGAAACUGGGGCUAAUACCGGAUAGGAGCUCCUGCUGCAUGGUGGGGGUUGGUAAGUUUCGGCGGUUGGGGAUGGACUCGCGGCUUAUCAGCUUGUUGGUGGGGUAGUGGCUUACCAAGGCUUUGACGGGUAGCCGGCCUGAGAGGGUGACCGGCCACAUUGGGACUGAGAUACGGCCCAGACUCCUACGGGAGGCAGCAGCGGGGAAUAUUGCACAAUGGGCGGAAGCCUGAUGCAGCAACGCCGCGUGCGGGAUGACGGCCUUCGGGUUGUAAACCGCUUUCGCCUGUGACGAAGCGUGAGUGACGGUAAUGGGUAAAGAAGCACCGGCUAACUACGUG